rnacentral:rRNA from 1 species
UACGAGGGGUGCAAGCGUUGCUCGGAAUUAUUGGGCGUAAAGGGUAGGUAGGUGGUCUCAUUUGUCAGGGGUGAAAGCCUUGGGCUUAACCCAAGAAGUGCCCCUGAAACGGUGAGACUGGAGUCUUGGAGAGGGUCGUGGAAUUCCCGGUGUAGCGGUGAAAUGCGUAGAGAUGUGGAGGAAUACCGAUGGCGAAGGCAGCCCCCUGGGAUGAUACUGACGCCCAUGCACGAAAGCGUGGGGAGCAAACAGG